rnacentral:rRNA from 1 species
GAUGAACGCUAGCGGCAGGCUUAAUACAUGCAAGUCGUGGGGCAGCAUGAGUGUAGCAAUACAUUUGAUGGCGACCGGCAAACGGGUGCGGAACACGUACACAACCUUCCUAUAAGUGGGGAAUAGCCCAGAGAAAUUUGGAUUAAUACCCCGUAACAUAAUGAUGUGGCAUCACAUUAUUAUUAUAGCUUCGGCGCUUAUUGAUGGGUGUGCGGCUGAUUAGAUAGUUGGCGGGGUAACGGCCCACCAAGUCUACGAUCAGUAGCUGAUGUGAGAGCAUGAUCAGCCACACGGGCACUGAGACACGGGCCCGACUCCUACGGGAGGCAGCAGUAAGGAAUAUUGGUCAAUGGACGCAAGUUUGAACCAGCCAUGCCGCGUGAAGGAUUAAGGUCCUCUGGAUUGUAAACUUCUUUUAUCUGGGACGAAAAAAGGCGAUUCUUCGUCACUUGACGGUACCAGAUGAAUAAGCACCGGCUAACUCCGUGCCAGCCGCCGCGGUAACAC